rnacentral:lncRNA from 1 species
AACAAGUGCAAUAAAGGCGAACUGGAAAGCAAAACCCGUAUGAUAACCAACACCGUACGCGACGUCAAUACGAAUUAAAUCGGAAUAUGAAAUACAAAAGAGAUGUCACAAUUUUUGUUUUCUUGUAAUUUUCAUUGGAAACUUAAAUUUUAUGCUAGGUUCACACUGCCGAUCAGAUCAAUUCGAUGAUCCCUAUUGUCCAAAAUUCCACCACCAAGCGAAACCAAAAUCUUGAUCGGGCCUGUUUACGACUUCUACCCGACUGUUAUUCGACUGUACACGACUUUAACUCGACCAUUCACGACUCCAACCCGACCACUAAUUGAUUAAAUAUUCGAUAAUUCCGACCAAUUUACGAUCUCUACACGAUCUUUACUCGACUAGUUAGACCAAAUCAACUAUACUCGAUCACAGCCUGAUCUCUACCAAACCAGAUCGACCCGAAUCGUAUAGAUAGUCGUUUGGAUUGUCUGGAAUUAGUCGGGUAUAUACAAUUUUUAUAUAAAAACAUCAUAUUUU